rnacentral:rRNA from 1 species
AUGCUGGUAUAUUUCCAGAAUCAUAACAAGGACGUAGUUCUUGCUACAGUUCUAAGUUAUGAUCCCGAAUUUAAACUUAAUGGUGCUGAAAUUAAAAUGCAUUUUGGGCAGUGUAAUACAAAACUUGCGAAAGCUGAAGAUUUGGUACAGAUUCGCAAAAACUGCAAUACUAAUGGUAAUGCAGAAAAAAUAUAUUGCAUGGCCCUCAACGUUUGUACGUGUCUAAUAUCCUGCCUUUAUCACUACUUGUAUCAUGUCAAUGCAUUAUGUGUUAAUAGUUCAUUUUGUUAUUUUUGUUGUAGAUUGAAAAGAUAUAUGGAUGAUUAUAUGGGUGCGUAA